rnacentral:rRNA from 1 species
AUUGAACGCUGGCGGCAGGCCUAACACAUGCAAGUCGAGCGGAUGAAGGUAGCUUGCUAUCUGAUUCAGCGGCGGACGGGUGAGUAAUGCCUAGGAAUCUGCCUGGUAGUGGGGGACAACGUUUCGAAAGGAACGCUAAUACCGCAUACGUCCUACGGGAGAAAGUGGGGGAUCUUCGGACCUCACGCUAUCAGAUGAGCCUAGGUACGAUUAGCUAGUUGGUGAGGUAAAGGCUCACCAAGGCGACGAUCGUUAACUGGUCUGAGAGGAUGAUCAGUCACACUGGAACUGAGACACGGUCCAGACUCCUACGGGAGGCAGCAGUGGGGAAUAUUGGACAAUGGGCGAAAGCCUGAUCCAGCCAUGCCGCGUGUGUGAAGAAGGUCUUCGGAUUGUAAAGCACUUUAAGUUGGGAGGAAGGGCAGUAAGUUAAUACCUUGCUGUUUUGACGUUACCAACAGAAUAAGCACCGGCUAACUUCGUGCCAGCCGCCGCAGUAACAC